UCCCACCCUUGUAAGGCUGUUGUGGCACGGCUGUGCCCCUCAACCAAAGGUCUCGGCGCCUGCUGGCUGGCCACCCUCGGAGCCCUCUGCCUCCUCCAGCCUCAGUGUGGGGAAUGAGGCCCCUCUGGUACCAGCCCUGGCCACUGCAUUCAUUGCCCUGUGGUUUUGCUACAUGCUGGCCUCACUUGCUGCUACUCCUGCCAUCAAAUCCUGCCCUGACUUUGUUCCCCCUCCUCAGAGUGGCCAGGUUCUUCGAGAGACUCUGGGCUGUUCCACAGCCCCAGGUGUGAAUGUUGAGUUGUAUCAUUCUUUCUGCCAGCGUUGUUUUAGGCAUGGGUAUGUGGUACAAUUCUGGCUUGGUCAGGAAGAGAAUUAUGCUGGUGAAGUUUCCUCCUCAAAAAGCAACACAAUGAAAGGCUAUUCCCUUUAUUCCACCUCUGGACAUCGGAGGGAGAAGAUGUGACGUCUGAAGCCACAGCAGCCCCUUUUUAACCAUGAGGAUUGCAGAGCCCAAAGAGGAAGGGAUCUUGGUCCUUGAUGACAUAUUUGAGCCAACAAACUAAACCAACCUCAGAAUUAGUCUUCUUCCAGAAUUAUAUUAUGUGACAUCAUAAAUGUUUUUAUUGUUUAAGCUACAUUUAGUUGAGAUUUCUUGUAUUUGACCUGUAGCCCAAAGCAGCCCAAUACACAGUUCCAGGGGUUUAUCUCAUUUAAUCCAGUAAUAAAUUGUAGAGAUUUAAAA